rnacentral:rRNA from 1 species
AGCGAACGCUGGCGGCAGGCCUAACACAUGCAAGUCGAACGAAGUCUUCGGGCUUAGUGGCGGACGGGUGAGUAACACGUGGGAACGUGCCUUUAGGUUCGGAAUAACUCAGGGAAACUUGUGCUAAUACCGAAUGUGCCCUUCGGGGGAAAGAUUUAUCGCCUUUAGAGCGGCCCGCGUCUGAUUAGCUAGUUGGUGAGGUAAAGGCUCACCAAGGCGACGAUCAGUAGCUGGUCUGAGAGGAUGAUCAGCCACAUUGGGACUGAGACACGGCCCAAACUCCUACGGGUGGCAGCAGUUGGGAAUUUUGCACAAUGGGGGAAACCCUGAUGCAGCGACGCCGCGUGGACGAUGAAGGCCUUAGGGUUGUAAAGUCCUUUUUUGGGGAAAGACUUAGGACGGUACCCCAAGAAUAAGCUCCGGCUAACUACGUGCCAGCAGCCGCCGUAAGAC